CAGUAGCCGCGGGAAUACGAAGGGGGCUAGCGUUGCCCGGAAUCACUGGGCGUAAAGGGCGCGUAGGCGGCCGAUUAAGUCGGGGGUGAAAGCCUGUGGCUCAACCACAGAAUUGCCUUCGAUACUGGUUGGCUUGAGACCGGAAGAGGACAGCGGAACUGCGAGUGUAGAGGUGAAAUUCGUAGAUAUUCGCAAGAACACCAGUGGCGAAGGCGGCUGUCUGGUCCGGUUCUGACGCUGAGGCGCGAAAGCGUGGGGAGCAAACAGGAUUAGAUACCCCUGUAGUCCCUGUCUCUUAUAC
rnacentral:rRNA from 1 species